CACGAACGCUGGCGGCAGGCUUAACACAUGCAAGUCGAACGGGCGUAGCAAUACGUCAGUGGCAGACGGGUGAGUAACACGUGGGAACCUUCCUCGUUGUACGGAACAACUCAGGGAAACUUGAGCUAAUACCGUAUACGUCCGAGAGGAGAAAGAUUUAUCGCAAUGAGACGGGCCCGCGUCGGAUUAGGUAGUUGGUGGGGUAACGGCCUACCAAGCCGACGAUCCGUAGCUGAUCUGAGAGGAUGAUCAGCCACACUGGGACUGAGACACGGCCCAGACUCCUACGGGAGGCAGCAGUGGGGAAUCUUGGACAAUGGGCGCAAGCCUGAUCCAGCCAUGCCGCGUGAGUGAAGAAGGCCUUAGGGUUGUAAAGCUCUUUUACCAGGGACGAUAAUGACGGUACCUGGAGAAUAAGCCCCGGCAAACUUCGUGCCAGCAGCCGCCGCAGUAA
rnacentral:rRNA from 1 species